GACGAACGCUGGCGGCGUGCCUAAUACAUGCAAGUUGAGCGAUGAAGAUUGGUGCUUGCACCAAUUUGAAGAGCAGCGAACGGGUGAGUAACGCGUGGGGAAUCUGCCUUUGAGCGGGGGACAACAUUUGGAAACGAAUGCUAAUACCGCAUAACAACUUUAAACAUAAGUUUUAAGUUUGAAAGAUGCAAUUGCAUCACUCAAAGAUGAUCCCGCGUUGUAUUAGCUAGUUGGUGAGGUAAAGGCUCACCAAGGCGAUGAUACAUAGCCGACCUGAGAGGGUGAUCGGCCACAUUUGGACUGAGACACGGCCCAAACUCCUACGGGAGGCAGCAGUAGGGAAUCUUCGGCAAUGGACGAAAGUCUGACCGAGCAACGCCGCGUGAGUGAAGAAGGUUUUCGGAUCGUAAAACUCUGUUGGUAGAGAAGAACGUUGGUGAGAGUGGAAAGCUCAUCAAGUGACGGUAACUACCCAGAAAGGGACGGCUAACUACGUG
rnacentral:rRNA from 1 species